UCUUGGAUGUGACACAUGAUUGUUUGUUCUUCAUUCUUCUGCCUCACACAUAUCUGCCAGGCAAUAAAUGCUGUUUGCCUGCCCUGAAAGAUUCAAGGACUGAAGAGUUAUUGCAAGGGCUGGGCCCCAUAUGUCCAAAAGUGUAUUUUUGUUAUGAUCUAUGAUGUUUGGGGAAUUUAUCUACUGAACUAAGUCAUCUUAUUUUGAAAAGCUCAGAAAAGAUGUACCUGGAACAGUGGAAAGAUCAUUGUCUCUGAAAUCACAGGAGUGGGUUCAGACCCCUACUUUGAAUUUACUUCCCUGCCAGGCUCUCAGAUUACUCAUCUAGAAAAUAAAGGGAUUAAAAUAGAUAGCUUUUAAGUUGCCUACACAUUCUCCCUAUGUGUGUUCUUAUCCUCUUAGCUGAUUUUGACAACAUAACAUUCCUAUGAUGAAGACUAAAAUCAAGCUUCUGAAAGUGUGGCCCUUGGUCUUCAUUGUAAAUAUAUAGAAGAGAAAAACUCGCGAGAAAGAAAAUGGUCCAGAUUUUGUGAAUGGAGCAAAUACUCAGUCCAUUGAAUUCUGUGUCCUAGAUGUAGCAUAAAUUUGAGCAUCUCAACUCAAAGUUGCCAACCAUCUGGAAUUAAUACAUUUAGAAUGUAUUUUUUAAAUAAUUGAAUGUUCCAGUAUUCCAAGGAUCUCUUGCUUGCUUUCUUUAAAAAAAAGAAAAAAAAGGAAAGAAAACAAAACCCUUUUUCUAGCCAAAACUUCUCAUAGCAUCUCUAUGGUAAAACUACAAAAAGAAAAGAAAAAGAAAAUACUACUGCAAAAGAUGUAAAAAUCAGCAUUUUUUCUUCCCCCAAAUCUGAGAUUACUAUGUCUGUUUUCAUUUUCUAUAAAGUUUUAGCUAUAUUCAAGAUGCAAUACAGUAUUUUAACAUUCAUUAUAUCAUUUUAUAUUAAAGUAUAUUUACAGUAUUAAGAUUCAGUAUUCAGUAUUUAUUUCACUAUGCAUUUUGUUUAGUAAAAAAAGGUGAAGCAAGAAAAAAAAGUUUACUCCAUUGGUGCCUUACUUUGUGAUUUUAAAGAAAUCAACUUUUUUGUGUCUAUAGCAUAUUAGUAAAAAAAAAAAAAAAAAAAAAAAAAAAAGUUAGGCUUUGAUAUUUCAAACUUAAUACAAAGUAUGACAAUUUAUUUUGUUCUGUUAGUAGCACAAAUAGGGUGAUUAUUGAAAUGCCCAGUGAAAUUCACUUUUUCCUACUUUACAGUCAGGAACUGUGGAAGGGCAAAUGGUAAAUUGUUUUCAUAGCACUGCACUGUAAACAUGCACAUUUUGAUAUUUGUUCCUUAUUGAGUAGCUUAAAUGAUGGAGCCCAGUCUUUUUUACAGUGAUCUGCGCUUUUAAAAAUUAGCCAGGUAAUAAAUAAAAUCAG
rnacentral:lncRNA from 1 species